rnacentral:sRNA from 1 species
ACCAAAACUAUAGUAGAUUUGAUCAAUAAAGAUAUACCUUAGAUUUGUUAUUUCCUAAUAGCCCUAAUGUUCCUUGUAUGUAGCAGUAGGCGACUACAAGUUAGAAGAAACCUUGAUACAUAUGUUCAGGGCCAGCCCUGACAUUUUGUGGGUCAAAACUCAAAAAAAGAAAAUUUAAGGUUAAGUUAGAAGGUUAAAAAAUUUGGGGCAAUUAUUGGAAAAUGAGUAAAAUAAAGGAUGCUUUGUAAAUAAGCUUUGCUGAAAAAAAUGGAGGUCACAGCAAAUGUUUUAUCCUGCUGUGUCCAGAUGUGUCGAAGAUCAGCUCUGCAUAUGCUAACGAAGGAUCUAAAAAAGAAUAUGUAAUUGGAAAAUGCUUAGUUUCUACGAGACAAGUCGUACUAUAAUAAAUACUAAUGCCAAAUUUAAAACAUAUUAUUAGAAGGAAAAAAGAAUCAGUAAGUAAAAAACAAAUAGGAAUGUCUAAUUAUUACUAGAUUAACCCAAAAACAAAUAGGAAUGUCACUAAGUAAAAAACAAAACUCUUUGGAAUGGAUGAUUUGAAUGAAUUUCAUGGUUAGUUUACAAUAGCCAACAACACAUGGAUCUCUAAUUGUCCACAAAACCCGUGAUUCCUAAGCUUAUUCAAGAUCCCAACAUGCAAUAGCUUUUUUCUAUCUAUUUGUUUACGAUGAUUGAGAUUAUUAAUCAUUAUUACAAAUUAAUAAAUGUCAUUUUUACAACAAAAAUCAUUAAAAUACAGUGCAUAUCAUAUAAAA